rnacentral:tRNA from 1 species
GCUUCCGUAGCUCAAUAGGAUAGAGCAACUCCCUUCUAAGGAGUAGGUUGCACGUUCAAAUCGUGCCGGAAGCAC